GUUCAAACAAAUGCCUUGUGCAGUGGUAAAUCUGAAGCGAUAAUCUGCAACCGAUGGCUACACAGCUCCCUGGUUUGUUGCUGAACAGCGCUGGCCUUACACUCGCCGGCGCCCGGUCUCUUAGUUGCCGGAACAAUCAACCACCGGCAGCUAUCUCCUCUGCCAACCCUCCUUCUCUCUCUUCCACAAUUCAGGUUGUUGGUUGGAAAGGUGCUGGAGGAUCUGGCAGUGAGAAUUCAAAACUUUUUAAUUCUUUUGAAGACAAUCAAGAAGAAUAUGACUGGAAUGAUCUAGAAACCGAUCUUUACCAUUGGACAAAGACUUUACGACCAGUUCAGUGGUAUCCUGGUCAUAUCGCGAAAACUGAGAAAGAGCUCAAGGAACAGUUGAAACUAAUGGAUGUUGUCAUAGAGGUUCGAGAUGCAAGAAUCCCGAUGUCCACAAGUCAUCCACAGAUGGACUCAUGGCUUGGCAACAGAAAGAGGAUCUUGGUUUUGAAUCGAGAGGAUAUGAUAUCAACUGCUGAUCGGAAUGCUUGGGCAACUUAUUAUGCUAAUCAAGGGAUUAAAGUUGUUUUCUCCAAUGGCCAGCUUGG
rnacentral:misc_RNA from 1 species